rnacentral:rRNA from 1 species
CGAACGGGUGAGUAACGCGUGAGGAACCUGCCUCAAAGAGGGGGACAACAGUUGGAAACGACUGCUAAUACCGCAUAAGCCCACGGGCCGGCAUCGAUCUGAGGGAAAAGGAGUGAUCCGCUUUGAGAUGGCCUCGCGUCCGAUUAGCUAGUUGGUGAGGUAACGGCCCACCAAGGCGACGAUCGGUAGCCGGACUGAGAGGUUGAACGGCCACAUUGGGACUGAGACACGGCCCAG